AAUUUAAAGAAACAAAUUUUUGGAAACCCCUUACAUGAACCUAACAAAGAAACCAACUUUGAUACUUCGUUGACACAGACACACUGUAGAUAAUUACUCGUAUACAGUCAUUCUCAAACGAUAUAAUGCAAUCAAAACAGACCGACUCUACACUCUUAAAAAAAUGCCAUAGAAGACCCUAUUUGUCUUAAUGGUUCCAUAAAGAAACUUAACAUCUGAACAUUUCUGUUCCACAAAAAAUCUUUAUAGAUGGCUCUUUAAAGGACAUUUGACUAGAUUUCCUGAAGAACCUUUUGAAGCAACUUAAUUUUUAAGAGUGUAGCUGUCACCAGCCGUCAUGUGGAAACCGGGAAGGCCCCUCCUUUCGGUAACUUGUCCUCUCCGCUUGACUCGGCCUCACACGGAGCAUGGCUCGAAGCGGUAUAGCCAAAGUCAUGCAGAGGCAAACCGAAAGCGAUGAGAUCCAGCUGUGACGUUAAAUUCCUAUGGAUUAUAAGCGUCUCAAUGGCAUAAAGACAAAGAAAGCGUCAAGAGUUAAUAAAACAACUGGCAGCCUGACUUGAUUCGCGGGGAAAAUCAAUAGGAAAACAUGAAUUUCCAUUUGUCCAUCUUCUGGCGAGUUUGCAGUGACGGCUUCGGUCUGCAUGUGAAUAUGCCUCAAAAAUGACCAAUGCAUCGUCUUGGCACUUCUGUUUUGAUGCUUAUUAUACUACCUCUUGCCUUUUCCUGUGAAAGUGGUCACAAUAAUAACCAGAUCACCGAGGAUUACCGCAAUAUCAUUAGCAGACAACUGAAUCACGUUGAGGCUAUUAUUGAACAACUCUGUUCAAACUGCACAGUAAGAAAUGUCAGCAUGUCGAAGGAGCUAAAAAAUACACAGUCCAUCCACAGAAAAAUCUGCAAGGUUAACGGAAAACUGAGAAGAACCGAGUCGUCUUCAGAGAACUUAAAUCUGAAAGAUGCGUUACAUAACCUUGUGGGAGAAAUAAAUACGUCCUUGAGAUGUUGGUGCCAUGAAAAGAGAGAGGGGAAAAAUAAGCCAAUACAGCAAACACGAAACUGGAAGCUAUGCAAAGUGAAAGACAUUCUCGCCAACUUACAGAGACACUUCGAACAAUACAAUGCAUAUCUGUCAUUCGGCACAGACCUUCGAGAGCGUGGGAAGACUUCAGAGCAAACCGGUAUAUAAUACUUGAGCUUCAUCCAUCCUGUAGCUCUAUUACAACAAAUGAUUGUACAAAAUAUGAAGAAGAAACUGGACGCACCAUGUGCCAUUCACACUAUUCAGUAUUUCACUGAAGAAAAACUUUUUGUGGGAAAAUAUGUGCGAACUAUACACAUACUACUUGUGCAUGAAAUGUUUCAAAAUUUUGUACUUCGGAUUGUUAUCUUUGAGUACGGAGGGAUCAGCAAAAUGGAACUCACAAAUUAGAAACUUGGUUUCAAAGCCUAUAUUAUUUUUUAUUAUUAUUUUUUAAGGCCUCAAGAUACAACUUUGUUGUUUCACAUGCUUCAUAUUUGGGAAGUGACCCUAUCAAAGUCUUACGAGUUUAAAGGCUUACAGUAAAUCCAAAGAUUACGCUCAUUGUGUUUUUCUAACUUCUUUCUGUGUAUUUAGUUGAUGAUUUUAAUAUGAGGUUAUUUCUUAGUUUCUUAAAAAAGUUUUUUUAGUUCAUAAUUCUUAAACCUUGACUUAAGGUGCUACUGAAAUGGUUCUAUUUAACAUGGUUGAUAAUUUGUGCCGUUCUACAUCUACAUUCUACAUCUGCAUAUAUCUUUGUGAGCAACACAUGCCAAAAAAAUCCUUGCCUAUACAUACAUGCAUAUAUAAAAUCAACAGGUGGGCUUAUAUGGUACAUUAACUUUUUUUAGGGUCACUAACCCUGUAUAAAGAACUGUUAACUUUUCACAUAUUCAAUUUACAUGUUUUUUUAUAUAACAGUACAUCACUGUUUGUUUUUGUUUUCCAGAACAUUUGACAUUAAUGGAGAUUUUUAUAAAUAUUGUAUUGCUAUGUAUUAACAUAAAAUUUCCACUUUAAAGGGUUACUCCACCCCUAAACGAAAAAUUAGUCAUUAAUCGCUUACCCCUGUGUCGUUCUAUACCCAUAAAAGCUCAGUUCGUCUUUGGAACAUGAUUUAAGAUAUUUUGGAUGAAAACCUGGAGGCUUGUGAGUGUGACUGUCCCAUAGGAAAUAACAGUUUCAAUGUCCAGGAAAGUACGAUAAGUCUUUGUCAGAAUACUCCACUUGCCAUCAGAUGUGCAAUCUAUCAUUUUUGUUUUCUUCACUUACAAAAAGUGAUCCCAUCACUUCAUGUAACUCAGAUUGCACGUCUGAUGGCAGAUGGAGUAUUCUAACAAUAACCUUUCAUACCUUUUCUGAACCUUGACACUGUUAUUUACUUGGCAGUCUAUGGGACAGUCUCAAGCCUCCAGGUUUUCAUCCAAGAUAUCUUAAAUUGUGUUCCGAAGACAAACUGAGCUUUUAUGGUUAUGGAACGACAUGUGGGUAAGGGAUUAAUGAACACAUUUUCAAUUUAGGGUGGAGUAUCCCUAUUAUUUCCCAUUUUAUAUGCAACUUAAUGCUAGUAGCUGCACAAGGAAAAAUGGGUUCAUGAAGAGAAACUGAAAUAUGGAACGGAACCAUGUACCGUAUUUUUCGGGCUAUAAGUCGCACCUGAGUAUAAGUCGCAUCAGUCCAAAAAUACGUCAUGAUGAGGAAAAAAAAACUUUUAUAAGUCGCACCGUACUAUAAGUUGCAUUUAUUUAGACCCAAGAACCAAGAUAAAACAUUACCGUCUACAGCCGCGAGAGGGCGCUAUAUGCAUAGACGGUAAUGUUUCCUCUUAGUUCAUUUCUCUUGGUUCAUGUCAAAUUCAUUUUGAUAAAUAAGUCGCACCUGACUAUAAGUCGCAGGACCAGCCAAACUAUGAAAAAAGUGCGACUUAUAGUCCGGAAAAUACGGUAUAUAAAAAAAAAGAAAGAGGAAAAUACCCUAAAUAAAAAUAAAUAAUAACACUAUUGCGAGUUAAUCACUUUAUAGGCAUUUUAAAAACACUGGGUCAGUGAUUAAAGGCAUAUAUUUUUGAAUAAAUAGAUAACUGUAUUAAAUGUGUUAAAUUGGCAGCACUAAAUAAACAAAUUAAAUGAACACAUCAAGCAGAACACAGUCUGAUUUAUGUUUCCACUUUAUUUAUGUAAGAUAAGUUCAAUCCAUUUUAACCAUUUUAUCCUUUAACGGCAAAAUUUGUCACAAUCCCAAAAACAGGUAUUCAUAAGCUAUAUUUACUGCCGCAGAAGCAGUAAUACAAGCAUAACAAGGUGCAGAGUGAUGCUUGAAAUACAUAUGAGCUUGAGAUCGGCAAACGACCACCAACUCCUCGACCUCUCUCAUUCUGGACCAGCAAUGAUAAAGCUUAAAGGCUUGGAAGCAAUAAAAUACCAUUGUAAAGCUACUUUUUCGGAAGGUUGUAAUGUGGUGGAUGCUCUUGAAGAAUGUGACAUGACAUUGCAGUCGCCUUUAAGUUUUGUAUGUUGUGUUGAUGUGUAAAUAUGUUGGACAGACUAGAUCAACGAACGUUGAACAGAUGUGAUGGAUUGUAUGUCUAAUAAAUAUACGACGACGA